rnacentral:rRNA from 1 species
GCCCUUCCUACGGGAGGCAGCAGUAGGGAAUAUUGGACAAUGGGCGCAAGCCUGAUCCAGCAAUACCGCGUGUGUGAAGAAGGCCUGCGGGUUGUAAAGCACUUUCAGUUGGGAAGAUAAUGACGUUACCAACAGAAGAAGCACCGGCUAACUCCGUGCCAGCAGCCGCGGUAAUAAGGGC